CCUGUUGACAACUCUAAAAAGAGUGAAACUGAAAAUGUGCGUGCCAACAAUGGAGUUGCUAAAAAGAAAGGGAAGAAAGGAUCUUCUAAAGAUGACGAUGCUGACAAUGCUAGCGACCUCCGUUCACCAAUCUGUUGCAUCCUUGGUCAUGUCGAUACUGGAAAGACAAAGCUGCUGGACUGUAUUAGACGAACUAAUGUACAAGAAGGAGAAGCUGGCGGUAUUACUCAACAGAUUGGAGCUACAUACUUCCCAACUGAGAAUAUUAGAGAGAGAACAAGGGAAUUGAAGGCUGAUGCUACUCUCAAGGUUCCAGGCCUGCUUGUUAUUGAUACCCCUGGUCACGAGUCCUUCAGUAAUCUGCGUUCUAGAGGUUCAAGUUUGUGCGACAUUGCUAUUUUGGUUGUCGACAUUAUGCAUGGGCUUGAACCCCAGACAAUUGAAUCCCUGAAUCUCUUGAAAAGUCGAGAUGCAGUAUUUAUCGUUGCUUUGAACAAGGUACCAUUCUUUGGAUUUUUGCCCCUUUGACCUUAGGCUUCUUGCUGUUCUGCCAUUUACUUGUUUGUUUCUUAUCACUGUAUGAAGGUUGAUCGUCUUUAUGGUUGGAAGACCUGCCCCAAUGCUCCUAUCGGGAAAGCCUUGAGACAACAAAAUGAUGAUGUCAAGUUGGAGUUCAAUACAAGGCUUACUGAUGUACGUGGACAUUAUUGCUUUCUCCUUUUCUUUUUAUUAUGGAAAGAACUACUAGUUGGUGAUGUUCUAAUCACAUGUAUGUGCUUUGUCCAACAGAUUGUGACACAAUUCAAGAUGCAAGGUGUGAAUACUGCUUUGUACUACAAGAACAAAGAGAUGGAAGAUACAUUUAACAUUGUGCCUACCAGUGCAGUAAGGUAUGGUCAACCAUUAAUCUUUUUGGUUCAUUCAUUCAGAUAUCUGGCAGCAAGUACGAUAUUACUAGCAUCUUUUCCUUAACACAUAAUGCACUUCUCCCUGCAGUGGUGAAGGCAUUCCUGAUCUGCUUCUACUAUUGGUGCAAUGGGCGCAAAAGACGAUGGAAGAAAAGCUUACUUUUGUUGAUGAAGUCCAGGUACUGUGCAUAUAUGAGUUUACAAGUCAUCACUAUAGAAGAAUGCACUUGUAUGAUCUUAUCUUUUUCUGUUUAAGUGUACUGUGCAUAAAUAUACUUGCUGUUUUAGAAGAAUGCAGUCUUACGAUCUUAUCUUAUUGUGUGUCAGUGUACUGUCCUGGAAGUCAAGGUUAUCGAAGGUCAUGGCACUACAGUUGAUGUUGUGCUGGUCAAUGGUAUGCUCCAUGAAGGAGAUCAAAUAGUCGUGUGUGGUAUGCAGGUAAGAAUCACUUUUUUGUGUAAUUGUAAUUGCUGUAGCAAAUACAUCAGCAGCACAUGAAGAUUCAUUAUGUUCUCGUUGUAUAUCUAUUUAGGGACCCAUUGUGACAACCAUCAGAGCUUUGUUAACACCACACCCGAUGAAGGAGCUUCGAGUCAAGGUGUGUGGCUCAUUAUACUGUGCCUUCAUUUAAUUUCUUAUUUUACAUCCAAGAUAUUGCUGUUCAACUAGGCUGCCACCUUGAAGAUUCAUUCUCUUUUGGUGCUUUGAUGACUGGGGACCUAUUUAUAGUUUUGAUCAAAACAUUUACAUACUGGGAGGUUUAUAUUAUGCAUACUUUGUUCAAAAGAUUUAUGUUCUCAUGUCAUUUUGUGCCUAUGUGAAAAUAACAAAUUAAUGUCAUGCUAACUCUACGAAGAAAGCUUAAGGGCAUGCUUGGUUUGCAGCAAUACUUUGCCAAAUGUUAGGCAGACAUGUGUGGCGAGUGUUUGGAUGCAGCAGUCACAGGUGGCAUGCCACACUUUCUUAGUCAGUCACCCCACUAGUCAUAGACUCAGUUUCCAGCCAACUUUUGCCACAAGUGUGCUGACCAAUUUGUCCGAGGGCAACCAAACAUAUCCUGAAUAUUUUCCACCUGCCGCCUUCUCUUUCUCUGUUAAGUUCGUUAUGGGUUGAGUUUCUUCACUUCAAUCAAUGCCACUCACCAGCAUGAAUUUUCCCCUUCUUUAUAUUAAUGUAUUUCAAUGAAAGGUAGUAGUUAUAUCUGUAUUUCUUCAUAGGCACCACCAUGCUUACGCCUUAUGAGGACACUUGAACACUUGCAUAUUAUGAUUCAUUGCUUUCUUUUGCACUAAGAUGAUUUGAGCCUUGGUUUACCUUUUAAGUUUUAGUUGACUAAUUCAUUUUAACACAAUUUCAGGGCACGUACCUUCACCAUAAGAAGAUCAGAGCUGCACAAGGAAUUAAAAUAUCAGCUCAGGUGGGUUCAUUAAAUUUUUGGCACUUCAGAGUGUAAGUAUCAGCCCACUUCUGAAAAAUAACGAGUGUUCUCUGUCAGGGUCUCGAACAUGCAAUUGCUGGGACUGCUCUCUAUGCUUUACGACCUGAUGCAGAUAUAGAGGACCUGAAGGAUGCUGUAAUGGAAGAGAUGUCAAGGGUUAGGAACCGGAUCGAUAAGAGUGGCGAGGGUGUCUAUGUGCAAGCAUCUACGCUUGGGUCAUUGGAAGCUCUGACCGAGUUCUUGAAGAGCCCUGCUGUGAAUAUCCCCUUCUGUGAUUUCAGCAUAGGCCCAGUGCACAAGAAAGAUGUUAUGAAGGCUAGUGUUAUGCUUGAGAGGAAGAAGGAAUAUGCAACUAUCUUGGCGUUUGAUGUCAAAGUGAUGCCUGAUGCCCGUGAUCUUGCAGAAGAGUCUGGCGUGAAGAUCUUCGUGGCAGAUAUAAUAUACCACCUUUUUGACCAAUUUACAGCAUACAUUAAGAACAUAAGGGAAGAGAAGAAGAAGGACAGUGCCGAAGAAGCUGUUUUCCCCUGUGUUCUUAAGAUCAUGCCGAACUGUGUCUUCAACAAGAAGGAUCCAAUUGUUUUGGGUGUCGAUAUCCUUGAAGGGAUAGCCAAGGUAUUUUGUUCGAUCAGUGAAAAUUUAUAUUUUCUCAAUCCAUUUUUACUGGGUUGUUUAGCUGAGAAGUUAACUUUCUAUAAUACCCAGCAUUCUUAACUGGCCUAGAUGAACAAAUGCCAGUAGUCUCACCAUCUAGAAAAUUAGAAACUGUCAUAUGUGUCCGUAGACAUGAAUGUUAUGUUAUGUUAUUUUUUCUCAUACAUCAUGCUGUUUUUGAGCUUUGACGUCCUUCUCAAGCUGUUUUUCUAGAAUACUUGCUAGUUGAGAAUUAACCACCUAGAUGACCAAAUACCUCAUAAUCUAGAAAGUGUCUUAAGACUUGAAUAUUAUCAUUGAGUGGUCUUUCCCCUGUCAUGUAGGUGGGAACGCCUCUGUGCAUACCCUCGAAAGAAUUUAUUGAUAUUGGGAAGAUUGCCUCCAUUGAAAUUAAUCACAAGCAAGUCGAUACGGCCACAAAAGGACAAAAGGUGGCUAUAAAGGUAUGUAUUAACCCAUGUUAUUUUUUUGAACCUGUCUGUAUUAUCCUGUGUGUGUUACUCUGCUCUUUUUUGUUCUUGUUAGAUUUAUAUAUCAGGUUUUGUCUGACAUAUGUUGUUGUUUCCUGGGUGGGUGGUGAGCAGAUCAUUGGGAGCAACUCUGAUGAGCAGCAGAAGAGCUUCGGCAGGCACUUUGAGAUGGAGGACGAGCUGGUCAGCCACAUCACAAGGCGGUCCAUCGACCUUCUCAAAGAAAACUACAGGGCAAGUCAAGCGUUUCUUUCUUGUUUGUUUGCAUGUGCAUUGAUUGGUUCACCCUGUUGUGUGCCCAUAUACUCUGAGUUAGUGAUAUUUUGUUGACUGGUGACCAACAGGAUGACUUGACGAUGGACGACUGGAAACUUGUGAUGAAGCUGAAGAAGAUACUGAGCAUUCCAUGAGCCUGUUGACAAAAAAAAGAGCCGGCGCGACCCCAUCAGCGAAGAGCCCCCCGAAGCCACCUCGGGUCGGCACGAGACACAGAGAGUGCGUGCAUAAAUUGGCGAGGGCGGUAGUUCUUUUUGUUGCGCCAUUCCACAGACACGGUGUUUCAAUUUUGAUGACGAUGAUGAUACGGUUGGUUGGUCGGAGAGAUGAUGCGCCUAUAACUUUAUUGCAAGUAAUAACAGCAGAUUUACUUACCUUUGGGAGGGAGAGGGAACCGCGCUUUUCUUUUUGGUUUUGAUUGAUGGUGUUUUGUUGCACUGUGUUAACCUGAUUUGGUGUGAUUGAGGCUAUGCAUAUUCCCGCACCUAGAUUAUAGGUAGAGUACUGGUUGGAAUCGUUUCAACAAGGUGGCAUAAAGAAGCAGGGUACCGAAAAUACAAGUUAUAUAGUUUAC
rnacentral:lncRNA from 1 species